CUGUGAGUUCAAGGCCAGCCUGAUCUACAUAGUGAGUUCCAGGACAGCUGGGGCUAAAAAAAAAAAAAAAAAAAAAAAAAAAAAAAGUGAGUAGGAAUAGAAAUGACUCUGACUUUCUUUCAAAGGACCGACCAUUAUCAGCCAGAGAGAGGAGGCGACUAAAGCAGUCUCAGGAAGAGAUGUUCCCCUCAGGUCCUUCAGUGGAGAGAACGCCUCUGAGUGCAGCAGGGGCAGCAAAACCACCAGAGGAAUGCCAGCCUAUCUCCGCCCGACAGUUCUCUUCUGAUUGCAGUAUCACUCAGGAGCAUCACACACUCCUGAAGGAAAAGGUGGAUACGUCCACAGGGAAACCCAAUACUGUAAACCUCACAAAUGUCAGCAUCAGUUAUUUAGGGGUAGGGCUGAUUAAAUGACUUUGUUUUGUUUUGUAUUUUUUUUUUUUUUUAUUAAGGCCAGGGUAGCUGUUGGCUUUAAUCCCAGCACUUAGGAGGCAGAAUCAGGAGGAUUUCAGAGUUCAGGUCAAGCUUGGUCUACCUAACAAAUUCUACACCAACCAGG
rnacentral:lncRNA from 1 species